rnacentral:rRNA from 1 species
AGUGAACGCUGGCGGUAGGCCUAACACAUGCAAGUCGAACGGCAGCACAGGAGAGCUUGCUCUCUGGGUGGCGAGUGGCGGACGGGUGAGGAAUACAUCGGAAUCUACUCUGUCGUGGGGGAUAACGUAGGGAAACUUACGCUAAUACCGCAUACGACCUACGGGUGAAAGCAGGGGAUCUUCGGACCUUGCGCGAUUGAAUGAGCCGAUGUCGGAUUAGCUAGUUGGCGGGGUAAAGGCCCACCAAGGCGACGAUCCGUAGCUGGUCUGAGAGGAUGAUCAGCCACACUGGAACUGAGACACGGUCCAGACUCCUACGGGAGGCAGCAGUGGGGAAUAUUGGACAAUGGGCGCAAGCCUGAUCCAGCCAUACCGCGUGGGUGAAGAAGGCCUUCGGGUUGUAAAGCCCUUUUGUUGGGAAAGAAAUCCAGCUGGCUAAUACCCGGUUGGGAUGACGGUACCCAAAGAAUAAGCACCGGCUAACUUCGUGCCAGCCGCCGCGGUAA